rnacentral:rRNA from 1 species
UACGGGGGGCGCAAGCGUUGUUCGGAUUUACUGGGCGUAAAGGGCGCGUAGGCGGUCAGCACAAGUCAGUUGUGAAAUCUCCGGGCUUAACCCGGAAAGGUCAACUGAUACUGUGCGACUAGAGUGCGGAAGGGGCAACUGGAAUUCUCGGUGUAGCGGUGAAAUGCGUAGAUAUCGAGAGGAACACCUGCGGCGAAGGCGGGUUGCUGGGCCGACACUGACGCUGAUGCGCGAAAGCCAGGGGAGCGAACGGG